CCUACGGGUGGCAGCAGUGAGGAAUAUUGGUCAAUGGACGUGAGUCUGAACCAGCCAAAUAGCGUGAAGGAUGACUGCCCUAUGGGUUGUAAACUUCUUUUAUAUGGGAAUAAAAUGUUCCACGUGUGGGUUUUUGUAUGUACCAUAUGAAUAAGGAUCGGCUAACUCCGUGCCAGCAGCCGCGGUAAUACGGAGGAUCCGCGCGUUAUCCGGAUUUAUUGGGUUUAAAGGGUGCGUAGGUGGUUUGUUAAGUUAGUUGUGAAAGUUGGCGGCUCAACCCUAAACUUGCAGUUGAAACUGGCAGUCGUGAGUACAGUAGAGGUGGGCGGAAUGCGUGGUGUAGCGGUGAAAUGCUUAGAUAUCGCGCAGAACUCCGAUUGCGAAGGCAGCGCACUGGACUGAAACUGACACUGAGGCUCGAAAGUGUGGGUAUCAAACAGGAUUAGAUACCCUUGUAGUC
rnacentral:rRNA from 1 species